rnacentral:rRNA from 1 species
GACGAACGCUGGCGGCGUGCUUAACACAUGCAAGUCGAACGGGCCCGCUCUCUUUUUUGGGGGUGGGUUGAGUGGCGAACGGGUGAGUAUCACGUGAGUAACCUGCCCCCUGCUCCUGGAUAACUGCUUGAAAGGGCGGCUAAUACGGGGUGUGCCGGCUGUUCCGCAUGGGCCUGGUCGGGAUAGUUUCAUCUUCGGGUGUUUCGGUGGGGGAUGGGCUCGCGGCCUAUCAGCUUGUUGGUGGGGUGAUGGCCCACCAAGGCGGUGACGGGUAGCCGGCCUGAGAGGGUGAGCGGCCACACUGGGACUGAGACACGGCCCAGACUCCUGCGGGAGGCAGCAGUGGGGGGUAUUGCACAAUGGGCGGAAGCCUGAUGCAGCGACGUCGCGUGAGGGAUGGAGGCCUUCGGGUUGUGAACCUCUUUCUCCGGGGGUGAAGGCCCUGUCCGUUGCGGCGGGGUUGACGGUAGCCGGGUAUGAAGCGCCGGCUAACUACGUG